GUGAACGCUGGCGGCAGGCCUAACACCUGCCAGUCGAACGGCAGCAUGGUAAGAGCUCGCUCUUACGGGUGGCGAGUGGCGGACGGGUGAGGCAUACAUCGGAAUCUACUUUUUCGUGGGGGAUAACGGAGGGAAACUUACGCUAAUACCUCAUAUGUCCUACGGGUGAAAUCAGUGGAUAUUCGGACUUUGCGCGUUACUAUUAGCCGAUGCCGGAUUAGCUAGUUGGCUGGGUAAAGGCCCACCAAGGCGACGAUGCGUAGCUGAUCUGAGAGGAUGAUCAGCCACACUGGAACUGAGACACGGUCCAGACUCCUACGGGAGGCAGCAGUAGGGAAUAUUGCGCAAUGGGCGAAAGCCUGACGCAGCAAUGCCGCGUGAGUGAUGAAGGCCUUCGGAUCGUAAAGCUCUUUUAUUGGGGAAGAACAAAUGCGGAAUUAACCCCGCCUGUCCUGACGGUACCCAAUGAGAAAGCAACGGCUAACUUCGUG
rnacentral:rRNA from 1 species